GGCUAAGAUUCCGCAUGGGUGCUUGGAGUAAAUACCUCUUGGCAGCUCCUGUAGCAUUUGGUGCUGUUCCCAACAUCUCCAUUCCUGGCUGAUGUAAUUAGAGGACACACAACUGGCUUAAGCUCCUACAAGCUCUGGAUAGAUUUUCCUGCCAAAAUGAAGAUUCCAACCAACAGGGAUAAUCACACAUAGCCACACCUACGGAAAGCAGGGACAAGGGUUCAUCACCAGGGCACAGGUCAAAGAAAAUGAGAAUUCAUUCAGGGAAUUGUUUCAUUCUCACAGAGUGUUUUACUGAAUGGGAUGGAAAAAGAUGGAAAUGGAUAUUCCCUGAGGACAGUGAUAAAGACUCAAGCAAGCAAGGUGCUCAGAGCAGGACCUGCCCUGCCAGCUCUGCUUCAGGAUGGACGAAUUUAUCUUAACACUGUGAUGCCAUUUUGCACCAUAAAUAUUGAAAAUACUCAUGAACUUGACCCCAAGAGCUGUCAGCAGAGUGUCAAUCUUCUAAAGGAUUGUACCAAAUUGGAAGAAAUUAUUUGGAAAUUAUACACUUAUCCACAAACAGAAUCCCAGAUCAUGGGUUUUUUUCCAUUAUUCAUAAAAAAGAGGUCAAAAUGAAAAGAAAGUAUUUUUGACUUAGACAUCUCAAAAAUCCAGCAGCAACCAAAGGUGUCCAGCAACAAAGAAUCCAAGCAUUCUCUUUGCUACAAAAAUAUGAAUUCAUAACUUUACUGAGCAGACAAAGCUGCAUUUCAACAGCUAAAAUUUUACCAUACCUUCGGAAAAAGGGUUUCAGUUGCACAGGGUUACAGCCAGCUCCUUUCAUCUCUGACCCAGAAGGCACAACUCCAUAAUGGGGCAGCUGCCAGACAAAAACUGCAGAGGCAAGAAAUCAAAUCCAUCGGGAUUCCAGGAAAACACAUUUUAUUCAGUGAACAGCACCGUUUGCAAGCCUCCUUUCAAAUGAUGAAGCUCUGCUCCAAGGAUACGUACAAACCACACGUGCACCUAUUCAGGAAGUGUUGGAGGAAUUUGCCAAGCUGUGUCAGAAAAUAUGGCUGAGAUAAUUUUUGAGCAAACCCACCUUUAAACCAUCUUUGCAGCACAGAACACAUCCAGUCUCUUCCCUAUGGAUAAUCCCUCCACCUGCUUCUCAUCUCUCAGGGACUCUAGAGUGUGUGACAAUAUAAAGAAUGAGUAGCAGGCAAGGCAGGGCUUGUGUUCAGGCACCCUGCAAUGCCAAUAAGCCCUGGAUGCAUGUUCCUUUACUCAUGUGUAAAGCACAAGAAGAUGGGCUGUGCAACAACCACAGAAGCCAUUUGAAAUAUCCAUUCCUGCAUGCACGAACACCAAAGUGGCAAGAAAGAAACAAUAAAAUGCUACUUAAAGUUAAUAGUUUAGAAUAUCUAAAGUUAGUAUUUUAGAACAUUAAGCAAUUUUCCAGACUUUUUUCUACUGACAUUUAAAACUACUUAUCAGCCAAUUUUUAUGUGUUUUGCUGGAGACAGAAGUUCAGGCUGCUUGGGAAUAAAAGGGAAGAAGAACAACAAUGAUUGUGCACUCAUAAAGGAAGAGUUAGUGAGAUUUUAAGUCAUCCCUGAGUAUUCCAUGAGGCUGGAUUUUAUUGU